rnacentral:lncRNA from 1 species
ACUCAUGAAGCCCCGUGGUUAACUUAAUCCUCUGAAACAGUAUCCCAUUUCGUAGUUCCCAUUGUGUUUCGUUUGGUCUCCCUCUAGGGCGAGUGGAGAUCGUCUUCUUACAUCCCACAAUAGUUGGGUUUCCUUCAUUUUUCUUAAAGCAGAAAGUGCAUCAUAAAAUGAUUACACAUGGUAAUGGUCAUUAACUCAUUUUCUUAUUUGUUUUGCACGGACAGGGUCCUUGCUCGGGAGGGGAUAAAUGCAGAUCAGCUUGCAAGGGAUGUGAAGUGAUUUCAACUUAAGGUACCACCUAAUGUCAACGUUUAAUACUUUUUUACAUUGAACUGUUUGACUUUGCUUGAGUUAUCAACUAUUAUAUUUUUUGCCUGUUGGGUAGUUAUUUUAUCCAUUCCAUGAUAGGUCUCGCUACUUGUUUCUGUCAUAAAACUUGUUUGCUUCAUAUAUAUAUACACAAGCCGCCACUUAUAUGUUAACAAAUAAAUGUUAGAAAUUAUUGUUCAUAUAAUUAAAAGUUUGUUUCAUAUAUAUAUACACAUGUGGCAAGCCUGCACUUAUAUGGGCUAGUGCAACACCAGGGUGACACUCUGAAAGGCCCCUCACAGGCCACAAAUGUUAGGAAAUUAUUGAACACAAGGAUAAGAACAAUUUGCCAUGUACACAUGACUGCUCACAUGUCAUGUCUACAUGGACCAUCAUAGGGAAAAUGAAUCCUGAACUUGAUAGAAAACUGUGAAAAAUAAAAACACAAGGCAGAAAAUAACAUUGAGAUUGGUAAUAAGAGUGUAGAAAGGACUCACUGUCUCUUAGCUUCACUUUUGAAGAAAGAUGUUUCACAAUAAUCUGUAGCAUGGUGCAACUAAGAUUGCAAUUCUCUUAGCUCCUAAAACCACCAUAGCGAAAAUGAAUCCUGAACCUGAUCGCAAACUCUGAAACAUAAAAACACAAGGCAGAAAAUAACAUUGAGAUUGGUAAUAAGAGUGUAGAAAGGACUUAGUCUCUCUUAGCUUCACUUUUGAAGAAAGUUGUUUCACAAUAAUCUGCAGCAUGGUACAACUGAGGCCAUCUACUAUAUUAAAAUACAAAACUAAACGAAAAAAGAGACUAAGGCUCUAAGUUUGUCGUUCAAAAUAAUACAGGGACAGAGUAAUGGCAAACAUAUCUUAGGAAGAAAAGAGUGGAAUACACUUUCACAAGGAUUAAUCUAUAUGUACAGAAAAAGGAGCACAAAACUGACAUUGGAAAGCCGGAAGGGACAAAACUUGGGCUUCCCUCUCCUUCCAUACUUGAGCAAGUAAGCCCCUUUUUUUUAAAGCAGUAAUAGCCUGUAGUUAAGACCAAUAAAGAACCUUAGUCCAUAUAGUCAACACAUUUAGCAAGCACGAAAUUAUGUAUGAAGUCUCAAAUUCCACAACACAGAACAACAAUAGACUGAAUGCACAUCAACUUAGAUGAAAAAUGAAAAAACUUUAUAGCAUACGUUACCAUGAUGAGAUUAUUAUCCCAUACCCUUUACUAUUUGGAAAAUCUCUGAAAAAUUCAGUCCCCAAAAGAAGCAGCUAGAAAUUAUGAAGGAAAAAACUUAGACAACCAUGAACCCAUUAGUUCUGCAGAGACUGUUCCUUUUUUUUUUUUAUCCUGAUUUGCUAUUAGCAUCUUAACAAGCAAGGACACAAGCAGACAGGAAAAUUCAAGAAGAUGCACUUGCUCUCACUCUUGGCUACAACCUAAAUAUCACAAUCCAUAUUUAAAGAGCAAUAGAUCCUAUGGUAAUUUUCAAAGCCAACUUUAUCCACUACAGUGUUGAGCUCAUCAAAGCAUAAAUAACCAAAUACUCAGAUGCAAUAACCAAAGCCAUUUACCACUAUGAAGGUUCAACUAUAUGAAUCAAAUGAUGUCAUUUUGUUUUGAACAAAACAAAUUCUUCAACAAUUCUACAUCCUUUUUAAUCAUUUGCCUUAGAAUCAAUCUACUCACAAGAGUUCCUUAUCUACUCCUUUUGUUGAAUGACAGUUGUCAUGUAUGUGUGUAUAUAUGCCUUGUUUUUGUGCAGCUUAUAAGGGGCUAUGUCAUGUCACCAAUCGAGGCUUGUAUGUGUUGUGAGUUGUGACAUGUUGAAACAAACAAAACUGAAUUGCACUAAUAAUUUGGUGGAACAUGAUGAAUUACAGUUUCAGUCCUGUGACAUUCUGUUUUUCCCUUUUGUGAGCUUUUAUGUUAAAAGUCCCAGUAAUGACCGACACUACACUAGUAAUUGCAUUACACAUACACAUUUAAUUUUAUACCCAUUUAAAAAUUGACUAAUGAGUUUUAGCCUCUUAAAACAAACAAUACUUGUACCCUAGUUUCUGCCACUUGUGUAAUUAGCAUGAGUUUCAGCAUUCAGCAUGUUACAUGAUUAUAUAUGAUGUUUCACCAUAAUUUUAUUGUUACGAAAUAAAUAUUUUGCUUCCCUACUACAAUGUUUUCUACAAAAUGAGCAUUGUUGUUGUGUUUACCGCAUUGUUUCAUCUGGUUGCCGUUGAAUACGCGAAGUAACUCAGUUGUUGAAUUUUGUUACUAUCUUUCCAGGUAUGUUGUUCUAAGUCCUAGCCUCCAAAAUUUAUAUUACUUGUUUGCUUGUAGCAACAAAAAUGUAUUGUUUAAUGAAUAAGCAGUUAUGUUCAUUGCGAGCGAACCUUAGUUUCCCAUUUGAGAUUCAAUACUUUGAUUAAUACGGACAGUUUGUAUUACUCAUUGUGUUGAAUCUUGAAUUGUCCAUUUGGACAUUUUGGGAGGACUCUUUGUUUUUAGUACAUUCAUACAUAUGGGUUAAUUGUUUAUUUGUUAUAUUGGACUAAAUUUUGGUAUAUUGCAUUUCAAUUUGUUCUCUGGGUACAUACGUGAAAGUGGUGGAUGGUUACAUUUCAUCGCUUUCAUGACGUGUACUUGGAGACCAAGGUGAAAUGCUGCCAAAAUUUAGGCACAAUUAACAAAUAAGCAAGCAUACCGAUGCGUUGAAAUGUGCUAUGAAUUGGGUCUUUCUGAAUGGGUUAGGGCCACACCUUUAAUGAAUAAAAGUGAGGUUUUCAUGCAUGUGAGAUAACAUACUCAACUUUCACAUAAAAGGUCUAACAUGGAUCGAAGUUGGAUGAACGCAUCACGUAUAACUGAAGACUACGAGAAUGGUGUUGAAGAGUUUUUGCAGUUUGCUCAAACUAAUGCGCAAGCUAUGUGGGGAAAAUAUUUUUGUCCAUGUGUCAAAUGUGCAAAUGGGAGACGCCAAAUAGUUAAUGACAUAAGAACUCAUCUUAUUUUUUAUGGGAUAGUUCGUACUAACACAAAAUGGAUAUGGAAGGGGAAUUGCCCAAUAGACCUGAAAUGUCGCAGGCUGAGCCGAUUAAUGCAGAAAUUGGAAAUCCUAUAGAAGAAAUGAUUCGCGAUCUUGGGCAAGAGGGGUUUCAACAGGCACAUGCACCCUUUUAUGACAAAAUAAAAAUUGAUUCAAAAAAGCCUUUGUAUUCGGGGUGCACAUCUUUCACAAGGUUGUCUACGGUGUUAGCUUUGGUUAGCUUGAAGGCAUGAUUUGGGUGGAGUGACAAGAGCUUCACUGAGUUGCUUAUGUUAUUGAAAAACAUUCUUCCUGCAGAUAACGAGUUGCCGAAGAAUCACUACGAGGCAAAGAAGAUUUUAUGUCCAGUGGGGAUAGAGUACCAAAAAAUUCAUGCAUGCCGUAACGACUGCAUUUUGUACAAAGAUGACUUUGCUGAAAUGCAUUUCUGCCCUAUGUGUGGGGUAUCACGGUACAGACUGAACGACGGGGAUUCCAGUGUUCAUCCAAUUGCCACCAAUCGGCAUCCAGCAAAUCAGAUGGAUUCUUACAACAUCCUGCAGAUAGUCUGCAAUGGAAGGCAAUUGAUUGUCUGUAUCCUAAUUUUGGGGCCGAGCCUAGAAGUUUAAGACUUGGUCUUGCUUCGGACGGAAUGAACCUGUUUGGAAACUUAAGCACUAAUCAUAGCUCCUGGCCUAUUUUGCUGUUCAUCUAUAAUCUCCCUCCUUGGUUAUGCAUGAAGUGAAAGUACAUAAUGUUGAGUAUGAUGAUAGCUGGUCCAAGACAGCCAGAUAAUGAUAUUGAUGUAUAUUUAAGAUCGUUAAUUGACGAUUUGCGGAAAUUGUGGGAAGAAAGGGUUGAUGUCUAGGAUGGAAAUCUGUAAAACUAUUUCAAGUUGCAUGCAAUGGUAUUUUGUACCAUUAAUGACUUUCCAGCCUACGGGAACUUAAGUGGAUAUAGUGUCAAAGGACAUCACGCAUGCCCUAUAUGUGAGACUAAUACUAGUUUCCUGCAACUUAAACAUGGAAAGAAGACUGUAUAUACCAGGCAUCGAAGAUUUUUCAAACAUUAUCAUCCAUAUCGGCGAUUGAAGAAGGCGUUUGAUGGAAGUCAGGAACAUGAAACCGUGCCAAAUCCAUUAAAUGGCAAUGAAUUUUAUCACCGGGUAAAGGAUGUCAUAAAUAUGUUUGGGAAGUCCCAAAAAAAACCAUCAUCUGAUGCAAACAUGUGGAAAAAAAAUUCAAUAUUCUUUGAUCUUCCAUACUGGUCCAAUCUUCAUGUCAGGCAUUGUAUAAACGUCAUGCAUGUGGAGAAAAAUGUUUGUGAUUCUUUAAUUGGCACCCUCCUUAACAUUAAAGGCAAGACAAAGGAUGGUUUGAAGUGUCGUCAAGACUUGGUUCACAUGGGUAUACGUCAGGUGUUGCAUCCUAUCUCAAAAGGUCCGCGAACAUAUCUGCCCCCAGCAUGUUACACAAUGUCAACUGCCGAGAAGAGAAGUUUUUGUCAAUGUCUGCGUAGUCUGAAAGUCCCACAAGGAUACUCUUCAAAUGUCAAGAGCCUUGUGUCCGUGAAUGACCUUAAGUUGGUUGGCUUGAAAUCCCAUGAUUGUCAUGUGUUAAUGCAACAACUUUUGCCUGUGGCAAUUCGCGGUACGUUGCCUGACAAGGUUCGGGUUGCAAUUACUCACUUGUGUUUCCUUUUUAAUGCUAUAUGUGUGAAAGUCAUUGACCCUAAACAGUUGGAUGAUUUGGAAAAUGAGGUUGUCGUUGUCCUUUGUCAAAUGGAGAUGUAUUUCCCUUCUUCCUUUUUUGACAUAAUGGUACACUUAGUUGUUCAUCUGGUCAGAGAAAUACGGUUGUGUGGUCCUGUGUUUUUACGGUGGAUGUAUCCAGUUGAGUGCUACAUGAAGGUGUUAAAGGGUUAUACCAAAACCCAACACCGCCCAGAGGCAUCAAUAAUGGAAAGAUACGUUGUUGAAGAAUGUAUUGAGUUUUCCUUAUAGUACAUUGAGCCAUUGAAAUCUGUGGGGCUUCCUGUACCCCGUCAUGACCAAGCAAGAGCAGGGAAGGGUACAUGUGGAUACAAUGUCGUGACAAUGACUCGACAUGAGGUGUCACAAGAAUAUUUAUAUAUAUUAAACAACACAGCAGAGGUGUUACCGUACAUAGAGGCUCACAAAAAACAUGUUAGAGAUACUCACCCUAAAAUGAACAUGAUGAGGGUGUUGCAGGAGAACAAUAAAACUUUCAUCAAUUGGUUUAGACAAAUAAUAUUUGUUGAUAACAGUGGUUCCAGUAGACUAAGAUUGUUAGCCAUUGGGCCAAAUCUAAAUGUCCCUACUUGGAAGGGAUAUGACAUUAACAAUUAUUCCUUCAAAAAAAAGUCACAAGAUGAUAAAAGUUCCGUACAAAACAGUGGGGUCAGUGUUGAUGCUGAUUCGGAUCACUUUUGCAGUACAUCAAACAACAACCCCAUUAGAGCAUUGAUGUCAUACUUUGGCGUCAUUCAAGAAAUCUGGGAGGUUGAUUAUAGUGAAUUAAAAGUGUCUGUUUUUAAGUGUAAGUGGGUGAUCGGGACUGCGGGUGUGCAUCAAGAUCCAUUGGGAUUUACUUUGGUAGACCUUAGCAAGGUGGCUUAUAUGGAGGAACCUUUCAUUAUGGCAGAAUAAGCCAGACAAGUUUUCAACAUUGAAGAUCCAUGUAAUUCAAGAUUGUCUGUGGUUCUGCAAGGAAGACCAAGUGGAAUCAAUUACCAUAAUGAUGAUUCAACCCUUGACAUUGGUGAAAUGGCUGGUUUUUUUACAAAAAAUGCCUCGUAUGAAUGAAGUUGAUGACGUCGAUGAUGGACAUGCAAAUCGUAUAGAUCAUGAUGAAGGUUUAUGGGUGAACAUUUCUACAUGACAAACUUGCAUUGCUUCAAAGUAAUGGUUUGUUUUGUGUGUCAAUAUACUUAUUGUUUUGUAUUAAGACUUUGAGUUAAUGUUGGAAAUUAAUAAUUUGUUUUUUUUUUCACAAGAUCAUGGCCACACCUCCAAGGUCUCCUCCACAGUCCGAUGGCCAGUCAGAGGUCACUUCCAAGAAAAGUAGACAAACGACACGACUUAGAAGCUUGACACACAGAUUUGUGGAUCAGCCUAGACCGAUGGUUAAUGUCGAUCCCGCUACUAGGAGAGGAUCCAGACCUCAAAAGGAAAAGUUCCACGGCUAUCUAGGGGUAGUUGCUCAAGAAAAGGUUCCGAUUGUGGAAUGACAUUUUAGUCAGUCCUCAAAUUUGUGUUUUCUCCACUUUGAUGUUAUAUUUUUAAAGUAUAUCUUUACAUUGAGAAAACGUAAAAUAACAAAUGUAUAUAUGCAGGCUAAAUUUGAUAUCCCAGAAGCCCCAAAGGUGAAGAGAAAGGUCAUGUCAACGGUUGCGACAAGAUAGAGGCAAUUUAAGUCCACCUUGACUAGCAAAUUUGUUUUUGGUAACACUGAAGGGCAACAAAUGCAGGAUGUCGUUACAAAAUAUGGCAUCAAUCCUGAAGCCUGGCAAGAAUUUGCAGCAACUCGAUAGACACCUAACUAGGAGGUUAGUUUUGCAUGGCAUCCUAAUUUCAAAUGAUUAUAUAUACACCAAUUUCAUUAUUUUGAUUUCAAUAAAAUUGAUGGAAAUUAUAUAUGCAACAUUACAGGGUAUUAGGAAAUAGGCACAAGCAAUUCAAAAACACAACGACUGCCCUCACCUACUUUCACGUGGGGGAUAUGAUUUGCUUGAGAAGAAACUGUUAGACGAGAAAAGAAAAAGACUAGAAGAGGAACAUUGUUCACUGAAAAUCCAGGAAAUAUUGAGGACCCCCCCAUCUCCAAUUAAAAGACAUGUUAAGUGGAAGGUUGCCUGCACCAAGGCUUACGACAAUAUGACAUCUGAGUCGACCCAAGAAAUAGCAGAUAAAAUAGUGAGUUCACCAAUAUUGUUGAAUUUCCUUUAUUUAUUUAUUUUUUAAUGACAAUGACCGCACAUUGUGUGUUUGUCUAUGGCGUGCUUUGUGAGGACUCCUUAGAAGAGCAGGUUACGUAGGGUAGCUUUAUAUCCCGUGGUCGUGACGACAUACUGAACACUGCCAUUGGGCGACCUGACCAUGGGGGUCGUGUUCGUGCAGUGGGGUCAGGUGUUACUAUUACUCAGUAUUAUGGAAGGACAUCAUGUACAUUCAAUAACUCGUCCACAUCCAUCAGUCAUCAACAAUUACAUGAAGUUCUUGCAAGACUUAGGGAAGACAUGAGUAGUCAGAUUAGGGAAGAAUUGAGGAGUUAGCUAGAAGAGGAAAACAAGAAGAGCUUGGAAAAAAUGACUAUGGCAUUAAAAGAGGCCAUUAAAAUAGAGUUUUCACAAAAAGGAUCCCUGGGCUCACCCCCAAUUGAGUCGGACAUACAACAAUUAGGUGCUCGUGUCAGCACAAAGGGAAGUAAUGUUGAAACCAAUGUGCACCCUUCAGGGGAAGAUGAUGUUGAUGCCAUACCAAGUAUGGGAUUGUAUGUGCAGCAUCAUGAUCGUACACACUUGAUGGCAUUGGGAAAAUACUGCAGGGGGUUCCACCAUGCACAGUGUGGCUUAUGCAGAUGAUGUGGUCACUAUUAGAAAAUAUGCUUUUUAUAUCGGUUAUUUAUGACUUUCUACAUCGGUUUUUAACUGAUGUUGAAAGUAUUAUCGUUAACAUUGGUUUUAAAAAACCAAUGUUAACGUAAAAUUGACAACAUCGGUUAUUUAAAUAACCGAUGUUAUAUAAUAAGAAUUACACCAAAAAAAAUGUAUGAAUAUUGACAAUUCACAUCGAUUUUUAUACAGAACCGAUGUUAACUUUCGAACGUUAACAUCAGUUUAAGUAAAAAACCGAUGUUAACUUAUACGUUAAUUAACAUCUUUUAUGUUAACAUUGGUUUUUAACAGAAACCGAUGUUAACGUAUAAGUUAACAUCAUUUUUUACAGAAAUCAAUGUUAACGCUUUUCGAUAUUAACAUCGUUUUUUUUUUAAAAAAAAUGAUGUUAAUAUACACAAACAACAUCGGUUUUUUGAAAAACCGAUGUUAACUUAUACGUUAACAUCAGUUUUUUGGAAAAACCAAUGUUGUUUGUGUAUAUUAACAUCAGUUUUUUUUUUAAAACCGAUGUUGUUAUAAGGAAUUUUUUUAAAUACUCUUUCUGUUUUUACAAAAAACCCAAAAUUUAACCUGUAAAUUUAAAAUUAGACCACACAGCACAACAUAUAUCAUUUACAUUCUGCUUUCAAAUAGGUUUUAGCAGAAAGCUAGCUAGUAAAUUAUCAAUUGUAAAAAAUCAAUUGAUAACUAUGAAUAAAUAAUUUAUUAAUAACUAUCAACAAAGAUUAUUCAAUGUUAAAAUGAAACAACAAUUGUAAAAAAUGUAAUGCAAGCUAGUAAACUAAUUAAGUAACCUAAAGUUACAUAGUUCCCUAACAUCCUAAGUUUGAUUUCUGACUUUGAGAUAAUAUUGUGCCCACUGGAUGCGAAGCGCCUUCAAUCUCUCUGCUUUCAAUGGUCUAACAUCAUAAAAAUAUUGCAUGGUCAAAUAAAACAUAAGUUAAUAAUGUAAUACCAAUGAUAAGAAAAUCAACUUUGUUUGAAAUAAACAAUUACCGUUUCCCAAUUAUUCCUGAAAGUUCCUAAGAUUAUCGUGGACAUCCAGUGCAUGACGUAAUAGCCGCACUUAGUGCUUCAUUUUUGUCUAUUACACUAAAUAGAUAAUGAAAUUUGGAUAUUAAAUGUUAACUACAAUUAGUGUACACAGACAUAAAAUAUAUAUAUAAGUAGAAGUUUUAUUUAAAUCAUAUACCUUAACAACAAUCCACCUUGCACCAGCCUUGGAUUUAGGUUGUGGAGUAUCAUCAAGUCCUUUCAAAGCACUGUUGAAUACAAGGAACAUUAAAAUUUUGAUGUUGUUGAGUUAUGCUAAUACAAAUGUAUUGAAAAGCAACACUGACCUAUUAAUUAUUCCUUUAAGGUAGUUGUCUGGCCUGUUAUGCAAGGAACAAAACCAGACAACAAGAUUUUCCUUAGGCAAAAUGACGACCAUUUGCCAGUGUGCACUGCAGUGGAGAUCAAUAUGGGUUAUUGUAGUAUUAUACAUUAUUUAAAUUCAGUUGUUCAAUUUGACUUACCCAUUUAGGUAGGCUCCAAGGUAGACAUCGCGUUUUGAACUCUGCAUCCAACUCUUCAUGUAACUUUCUGAUUCAAAUUUCGAUUGCCCAGAUCUCUGAAUGGACUGUGGCUCGAGGAAUCCAUACACAUCAGAAUUCCCCGCUCGCAUACUUGUCUUAGUCAGAUGCCUAUUGUUGUUAAUACAAAGUUAAUUAUGUAUGAAUUUAAAACAAUAACUUAGGUAAUUAACAAUAAUCUAAAUUGACUUACAGAAUCCACAACUGUAUAACAAAUAUGCCGAGACAUUGACCACCGUGUGCAAUUUCAAAGAGAUCUUUGUGUUUUAUGUACAACUGGAAGUCUUCAUUAAACACCCCGAACACAGUAGCAUCCCACAUAACCUGGAGAGGCUUCAAAAAAAAGUUGUGGGAUGGUCAAUGUCAUCAAAUAUAGGGGAUCAUCGACCUCAUGAUCUGGCCUAUCUAGAGGUUUUGCUGGAGACACAACUGCUUGUUUAUCCAACAAAGUUAAUUAACAUAAUUUAAUUACAGUGAACAAUUCAAUUGAAAAAAAAAGCAUAUAAUGAGAGUAAAAUACCUGUUAUGAUAAAUGCUUCACGAGAUGUGUCGGCCAAGCAAGGAAGGUGUUAAGGUCUGCCCCACUAAAAUAACCUCGUCACUGGGUACAGGAAUAGGAGCCUUUGCAUCUUUAACCUCCUCAACACCAACCUUCACUUGGCCAUGCAACAAAGGGAUGUUGUGAAGCACUAUGAAUCCCUCAUAAACUCUUCCUAGGGCAACCAGGUGGGAAGGAUUUUCAUGUAUGUACAACCCGCAGCUGACACGAGCAGCUAAGGGACCAACCUCAGGCUCCGGAGGCAGUCCAAGUCUUUGUGAUUGGAUCUGUGAUUGCAACUAGGACUGCAUCUGGCUGAAGGAUAACAUCAGUUGUCGAGUCACUUUUUUUGUGAUCGGCUCCUCCAGUUGGUCCUUGAUUUGUUGAGUCAGCUGCUCGAGUUCUUCGGGAGCCAUGGAGGAAGAACUAUGGGAGAUUCAUGGAGCCGCUCCAAUGUAUUACUUUAUGGUCACACCGGCUCCAGUAUGCACAGGACCAGGGUGUUCUGGUCGCCCAAUGGUAGCAGUCAGGAGAUCCUGACUCUUGACGUCCAUGGGGGACAAACGAACCCUGUGACGCCUGCUCCUCCAAAGAAUCUUGUACAAAACACAUAUAUUUGUUUAGUCAUUCAUAGAACAAACAAAGAUAAUUACAAUUCUUAAUUGAAAAUGACUUACAAUCUUCUCAACAAUUUCCUUUGCCGCCUCAGACGUCAUCUGCUAAGUUUUCUUGGUGCGGGUCAUCUUUCACAUGUCGUCUGAUGGGCGAUGAAGGGUCAAUCACGCCCUCAGUGCUUCCGGAUUGAGCAACUUCCUCUAGUUUUUUCUUUGUCUUCUCAGCCAUCAGCUUUUGUUUUAAAUAUUCACAACCCCCACGAGACAACACGUGGGGGGCAGUGUUUUGCUUCUAGAUGGCCUGUGCCUUUAUCCGCACAUCCUGCAAAAAUCGAACAUUAAUGAAAAUGAUUAUUACAAUGUAUUAUAAGAACUGAAUUUUUAGUAGACAACAAUUAAAAUGACAAAGUACAUACCUCCCACGAGGGGUCUUUGCGGGUCUGACAAACACUAUUAGAAAAUAUGCUUUCUACAUCGGUUAUUUAUGACUUUCAACAUCGGUUUUUGAACCGAUGUUGAAAGUACCGACGUUGAUAGUAUUAUCGUUAACAUCGGUUUUUAAAAAACCGAUGUUAACAUAAAAUUACCAACAUCGGUUAUAUAAAUAACCGAUGUUGGUAAUAUGAAUUACACCCAGAAAAUGUAUAUUAAUGUUGAAAGUUAACAUCGGUUUUUACAAAAAACCGAUGUUAACGAAUGUGUUAAUGUUGACAGUUAACAUCGGUUUUUUGAAAAAACCGAUGUCAACGUUAGUUAACAUCGGUUUUCUGUAAAAAAAGCGAUGUUAACGAAUGUGUUACUAUUGACAGUUAACAUCGGUUUUCUGUAAAAACCGAUGUUAAAGAAUGUGUUCCUAUUGACAGUUAACAUCGGUUUUUCUGUAAAAAAACCGAUGUUAACAAAUUUGUUACUAUUGACAGUUAACAUCGGUUUUUAUAACCGAUGUUGUUUUCAGGAAUUUUUUUUUAAAUAAUGUCUCUGUUUUUACAAAAAAAACCAAAAUUUAACCUGUAAAUUUAAAAUCAAACCACACAGCACACAACAUAUAUCAUUUGCAUUUUGUUUUCAAAUAAGUUUUAGCAAAAAACUAGCUAUCAACAAAGGUUAUUGAAUGUUAAGAUGAAACAACAAUUGUAAAAAAUGUAAUGCAAAGUAUAUAAACUAAUUAAGUAACCUAAAGUUACAUAGUUGCCUAACAUCCUAUGUUUGAUUUCUAACUUUUAGAUAAUACUGUGCCCACUGUAUGUGAAGUGCCUUGAAUCUCUCUGCUUCCAAUGGUCUAACUUCAUUAAAAUACCGCAUGAUCAAAUAAAAAAAUAAAUUAAUAAUGUAAUAACAAUUAUAAAAAAACCAACUUUGUUUGAAAUAAACAAUUACCGUCUCCUAAUUAUUCCUGAAAGAUCCUAAGAUUAUCGUGGACAUCCAAUGCAUCACGUAGUAGCCACAUUCAGUGAUUCCUUUUUGUCUAUUACACUAAAUACAUAAUGAAAUUUGGAUAUUAAUUAAACGUUAACUACAAUUAGUGUACACACACAUAAAAUAUAUAUAAGUAGAACUUUUAUUUCAAUCACGUACCUUAACAACAUAACAUAACCAGACACCAGUAACUUCUAUUACCUCUCACAAGAUCAUAGAACUGCACUGUGGACAGGCCCAGUCACGGGACCCCCCGCAUUUUCAGUCACACACCACUUUCAUCCAAAUCCACACCUAUAUACAUUAACCUAAUUAGAAAUUAGAAAAUAAGAGAAAAGUUGCUGCUGCCUCCUUAAUUGGAAAAUUUGAGAUCACAAGGGACAAAAUUAAACUAUAUGCAAAAAAUUCGUAUUCGUAUGUAAAUACAAACAAAAUAUAAUAAAAUACCUCAUAAUUUAUAUUAAUGCUAAUUUAAUAUUUUAUACAUUUAUCGGACAGCAGACAGAAUUGGAUGCGUCCAAACUAGAGAAUAGAUUAAGAGAUAUUGGCUAAGCCAACAACCAACAUUAAUUUCAUCCAAGAAUUGGAUGCGUCCAAUUAUACACAGUAUAUUCAUGGUAUCAUUGCAGAAGAUAUUGUUAAUGGUAAUUGCAAUCGUGCAUACAAGAGGAAUUGACCGUGGCACUCAUAGGACCACAGUGUCCUUAACGUUCUCCAAUGAUAAAAAUUAAAAAGCAUCAAAUUGUCAUCCAUCAUCUUACCCUGCCUCUCUACCACCAUGCACCAUAUCUUGAUUCAUACCCCAAUUUUCCUCAUAAUUGUGACACAUUUUUUUAAAUAAAUAUUAUCCGUGUGCCCCCAAAACUAAAUACUAUUGUCUUUGAUAAAUAGGAAAACAAUAAAAUCCCAAAAAAAAAGCAAAAAGAAAAAAAAAAGAAAAAGUAUACAAAUUCCUGUGCAAGAUGUUACACUCAUACAAACAAAAUACAAUAUAUGCAAUUAUUUUAAUAUAAUCAACAUAUAUAUUAAAAAAUAAAUAAAAGAAAUGAAUGAAGGGGUCCAAGUAUAUUAUGCCAUCUAAAAAAUAGAACUAUAGUGGGACCCACAUGGAGCAUCUAAAAAAUAGACCUAUAUUAUGCUACUAUUUCUUUUUUAUUUAGCUUCAACUCACUUCACUAGUGCGGAUUUAAUUAACGUUGAUAAUUUGAGUUAGGAUAUGCAUAAAUCUUAUCCACAUCUUGUCACUAAUCAGUUCAAACACUCAAAUCAUAUAGUAAAUCAUGUUACGUGAACAAAUUUUGCUUCUAGACUUCUAUUUUUACAGAUACAAUAUUUUCUUUCUUAAAUUAUAAAAAAAAUACAUUCUUUCUUAAAUAAAUAUAUAUAUGUAAAAUAACCGUCUCAAUCAAUGAAAGGAUACGUUGAUAAAAAAUACUGUAGUAUAUUAAAUAAAUUUAAUUAACAUGAACUUAUUUUAGUGAUUACAAAAAAUAUAUAAAAUUAUUUAAAUAGAUAUAUUUAAACUUUUUAAUUUAAAAUGUAAAAAAAUAAUUAAUAAAACUAAUUUGUAAUAUUUUUUACAGUAUAUGAAAUUUAAUUUAUUAUAUAAAAUAUUAAUUUUAUAAAGUUUUGAGAGUGAACACCAUCUUCAAUGAAUGGCUUGGCCUCCCUUAAAAACUCAGCUGCAAGCAACACCACAUUGGUGGUUCCAUCGCCAACCUUUUUCACAUUCACAACAAUACAAGAGUUCAUUUACUAACAAAAUUAAAAUUCCAAUUCCACAGUGUAAAGCAUCUGAAUGAAGCGAAAAUGAAAAGAUCCUGAAAGCAGUGGCAUUGCAUGAGAUCGAAGGGAAGUUAAAGUUACCUCGGAGUCCUGAGACUUGGCGAUGUCGGCGAGGAUUUUUGCAGCG